UGUUGCCUAAGGUGACAAGCCAAGAGGGGGGGUGAAUUGGUUUCUUUUAAAUUUAAACUAUCUUACUCAAGUCAAAUAGAUGGUUAGUAAGCUAAGGCAAUUCACAACACAAACAACACAAAGUAUAGUGGUUCGGUGCUCUCCUUAGCACCUACGUCCACUCCCCAAGCGACCCCUUGGGAAUUCACUAUAAUCUCGCGGA
rnacentral:lncRNA from 1 species